UCAUUUUAAAAAAUUAUAAUGAUAGAGACAAUGAGACAUACAGAGAAGUGCCGAUAUGGCGAUAUGAAUCUGCGACUUGGUAAAGAGGCGAACCCUAAUUCAAAACUUAUUAAGUAAAAGGUUUAUCACCGAUCUCAGAGAGCACGGUCAUGGCCAGCGACUUGCUAUAACCCUGAUUGAAGAAAAAGAAUAACAGGAUUGGCGUUCAAAACAGAAUACGCAAAUCCAUAAAAGAGAAAGUUAAAAUUGAGCAAAUAAUGAAAAUAAAUUAAAUUGAAAUCUGUAUUACCUGAACAAUUGAGCUCAUAUUGGCGGAAGAAAGAAGAAGAAGCGGCAAAAGAGAAGAUAAAGCAGACCGCAGACGUGAGUGUGGGAUUCGGAAAAAUAGCUUGCAGCAACGGAAGGAGAAACUCAGCCUUGGAACAUGGGUAAGUUAUUACAAGGAUGAUAAAGGGUAGUUAAACUUGCAGAGUAAAGCCAUUAAAGCUACAAGCUCAUGGAUCAUGUUUAGCAUAUGGAACACUUGUGAAGCCUACAAUCUUCAACUUUAAAAGUCACAAACCCUUAAGUUUCUUCAUAGAACUUUAAACCAAGCAAGAGAUAAGAUCUUCCCUUGUCUCAGUCUGAGAAUGUCAGUUAGUGAUGAUGACUCAUCACUUGGUAGACCCUUUGGGUUUCUCUUCAUCUAUGCACUCCAUGGAGAGGAAGAAAACCUUGAGGAGCUAAUGGAAUCCAUGUGGAAGUUCACAUCAAGAUUGGGAGAAAGUAUUAAGGAUUGCAGAGUGGUUGUGACUGAGCUCGGGUUAGGUGAUCCACUUGCAAACCAUGUCCCUCAAACAGCAUCUAUGUCAUGCAUCUAUGAUCUCUGGUUCACA
rnacentral:lncRNA from 1 species